UACGAAGAGUAGUCAUUUGUCUAGGUGUCACAUCUAUACAGAGUUACACUUUUCGAAUAUUAGUGCUUCUUCUCGUUGGAGUUGUUUUUUGUGAGCAAUUACCUCUAUUCUGUAAGCUACAUAU
rfam:Caenorhabditis brenneri strain PB2801 C_brenneri-6.0.1_Cont1870.2, whole genome shotgun sequence.